rnacentral:tRNA from 4 species
GCGGAUUUAGCUCAUCCGGUAGAGCGUCACCUUGCCAAGGUGAAGGUAGCGAGUUCGAGUCUCGUAAUCCGCUCCA